rnacentral:rRNA from 1 species
UACGUAGGGCGCAAGCGUUGUCCGGAUUUAUUGGGCGUAAAGAGCGCGCAGGCGGCUUGGUAAGUCGGAUGUGAAAUCCCGAGGCUCAACCUCGGGUCUGCAUCCGAUACUGCCCGGCUAGAGGUAGGUAGGGGAGAUCGGAAUUCCUGGUGUAGCGGUGAAAUGCGCAGAUAUCAGGAGGAACACCGGUGGCGAAGGCGGAUCUCUGGGCCGUACCUGACGCUCAGGCGCGAAAGCUAGGGGAGCGAACUGG